CAGUUGAAGAUCCGUGAGGUGCCCAGAA
rnacentral:piRNA from 1 species